UACGUAGGGUGCGAGCGUUGUCCGGAAUUAUUGAGCGUAAAGGGCUCGUAGGCGGUUUGUCGCGUCGGGAGUGAAAUCCACUGGCUUAACUGGUGGCUUGCUUUCGAUACGGGCAGACUGGAGGUAUGCAGGGGAGAACGGAAUUCCUGGUGUAGCGGUGAAAUGCGCAGAUAUCAGGAGGAACACCGGUGGCGAAGGCGGUUCUCUGGGCAUGUCCUGACGCUGAGGAGCGAAAGCUAGGGGAGCAAACAGG
rnacentral:rRNA from 1 species